CGUACUAAAAUUGGAAUGAUACAGAGAUUAUCAUGGCCCCUGUGCAAGGAUGACACUUUUAAUAAAUAAAAAAAGGAAAAAUAA
rnacentral:snRNA from 1 species